rnacentral:rRNA from 1 species
AUUGAACGCUGGCGGCAGGCCUAACACAUGCAAGUCGAACGGUAACAGGAAGACGCUUGCUUCUUUGCUGACGAGUGGCGGACGGGUGAGUAAUGUCUGGGAAACUGCCUGAUGGAGGGGGAUAACUACUGGAAACGGUAGCUAAUACCGCAUAACGUCGCAAGUCCAAAGAGGGGGACCUUCGGGCCUCUUGCCAUCGGAUGUGCCCAGAUGGGAGUAGGUAGUAGGUGGGGUAACGGCUCACCUAGGCGACGAUCCCUAGCUGGUAUGAGAGGAUGACCAGCCAGACUGGAACUGAGACACGGUCCAGACUCCUACGGGAGGCAGCAGUGGGGAAUAUUGCACAAUGGGCGAAAGCCUGAUGCAGCCAUGCCGCGUGUAUGAAGAAGGCCUUCGGGUUGUAAAGUACUGUCAGCGGGGAGGAAGGGAGUAAAGUUAAUACCUUUGCUCAUUGACGUUACCCGCAGAAGAAGCACCGGCUAACUCCGUG